AUUCCUACGGGAGGCAGCAGUAGGGAAUAUUGCACAAUGGAGGAAACUCUGAUGCAGCGACGCCGCGUGAGUGAUGAAGGACUUCGGUUCGUAAGGCUCUGUCGUAUGGGAAUAAGAAAGUGAAUGUACCAUGCAAGAAAGGAUCGGCUAACUUCGUGCCAGCAGCCGCGGUAAGACGAGGGAUCCUAGCGUUGUUCGGAAUCAUUGGGCGUAAAGCGGAUGUAGGUGGCCUUGUAAGUCAGGUGUGAAAGCCCAGAGCUCAACUCUGGAAGUGCAUUUGAUACUGCGAGGCUUGAGUGUGGAAGAGGUAAGUAGAAUACCUGGUGUAGUGGUGAAAUACGUAGAUAUCAGGUGGAAUACCGUAGGCGAAGGCGGCUUACUGGUCCAACACUGACACUGAGAUCCGAAAGCGUGGGGAUCAAACAGGAUUAGAUACCCUGGUAGUCCACGCUGUAAACGAUGGAUACUUGUCGUUGGAGGUAUUGACCCCUUCAGUGACGAAGCUAACGCGUUAAGUAUCCCGCCUGGGGAGUACGGUCGCAAGAUUAAAACUCAAAGAAAUUGACGAGGGCCCGCACAAGCGGUGGAUCAUGUGGUUUAAUUCGACGCAACGCGAAGAACCUUACCUGGGCUUGACAUCCCUGGAACUCCCUGGAAACAGGGAGGUGCCCUCGAAAGAGGGAGCCAGGAGACAGGUGCUGCAUGGCUGUCGUCAGCUCGUGUCGUGAGAUGUUGGGUUAAGUCCCGCAACGAGCGCAACCCUUGUCCUUAGUUGCCAGCAUUCAGUUGGGCACCCUAAGGAGACUGCCGGUGUUAAACCGGAGGAAGGUGGGGAUGACGUCAAGUCCUCAUGGCCUUUAUGCCCAGGGCUACACACGUGCUACAAUGACCGGUACAAAGGGCUGCAAUACCGCGAGGUGGAGCGAAUCCCAAAAAGCCGGUCCCAGUUCGGAUUGGAGUCUGCAACUCGACUCCAUGAAGUCGGAAUCGCUAGUAAUCGCAGAUCAGCAGGCUGCGGUGAAUACGUUCCCGGGCCUUGUACACACCGCC
rnacentral:rRNA from 1 species